rnacentral:rRNA from 1 species
GAUUCCCUACGGGACGCAGCAGUGAGGAAUAUUGGUCAAUGGUCGGGAGACUGAACCAGCCACGCCGCGUGAGGGAUGAAGGUACAGAGUAUCGUAAACCUCUUUUGUCAGGGAACAAAGGCGGGGACGCGUCCCCGGAUGAGUGUACCUGAAGAAAAAGCAUCGGCUAACUCCGUGCCAGCAGCCGCGGUAAUACGGAGGGUGCGAGCGUUAUCCGGCUUUAUUGGGUUUACAGGGUGCGCAGGCGGUCUUUUAAGUCAGCUGUCAAAACCCGGGGCUCAACCCC